rnacentral:lncRNA from 1 species
UGUGGCAAAUUAUUGACCUCUCUUUUUUAGCCUUCCAAAUUUAUCCUGGGUUGUGGGAGUUGGAAAGAGAGAAAUCUUCUCAGACUCAAGAGGGUUUGAUUUGCAGCCUUAGAAGAAGCCUAGAUGGAUGUGAAAGCAAGCUGCUGGAGGAGUGCUCUGAGGAGCUGCCUCUGAACAUGGCUGCACAAUGAGA